ensembl:rRNA 5S_rRNA 5S ribosomal RNA
AUCUAUGACUAUGCUACCCUGAACAAGCCCGAAAUCACCUGAUCUUGGAAGCUAAGCAGAGUCGAGCUUGGUUAGUAUUUGGAUGGAAGACUGCCUAAGUAGACCAGGUGCUGUAGGCA